UACGGGGGGGGUAAGCGUUGUUCGGAAUUACUGGGCGUAAAGGGCUCGUAGGCGGCCAACUAAGUCAGACGUGAAAUCCCUCAGCUUAACUGGGGAACUGCGUCUGAUACUGGAUGGCUUGGAUUCGGGAGAGGAAUGCGGAAUUCCAGGUGUAGCGGUGAAAUGCGUAGAUAUCGGGAGGAACACCAGUGGCGAAGGCGACUACCUGGCCUGUAAUUGACGCUGAGGAGCGAAAGCUAGGGGAGCAAACGGG
rnacentral:rRNA from 1 species